rnacentral:rRNA from 1 species
GGCCUUUUGACUAUAAUUUAAGGUCUGACCUGCCCUAUGAAUAUAACCUAUUUAAAUGGCUGCGGUAUACUGACCGUGCAAAGGUAGCAUAAUCACUAGUUUUUUAAUUGAAAGCUUGUAUGAAAGGUUUGAUGAGAAAAUAGCUGUCUCUAUAAAAAUUUAUUAGAAUUUUAUUUUUAAGUUAAAAAGCUUAAAUAAUUAUAAAAGACGAGAAGACCCUAUAGAGUUUUAUAUUUUAUUAUUUUAUUUGUUUUAGUAUUUUAAAUUUUAUUUUAAUAAAGUAUUUAGUUGGGGUGAUUGAAAAAUUAAAUAAACUUUUUUUUUAUUAUUACAUUAAUUUAUGAUUAAUUGAUCCUUUUUUAAGAUUAAAAGAUUAAAUUACCUUAGGGAUAACAGCGUAAUUUUUUUUGAGAGUUCAAAUCGAUAAAMAAGAUUGCGACCUCGAUGUUGGAUUAAAAUUAA